CCUUCAGGAUUCCAACCGGGCUCCUGUGAGAGCCGAACUUCUACUACGGGCAGUCUACUCUAAACUUCUACUAUGAGCAGUCUACUCUGAACUCCUACAGCGAGCAGUCUACUCUGAACUCCUACGGCAGGCGGUCUACUCUGGAUAUCUACUGUAAGCAAAUUUCAUUCGAGCCUCUGUUGUAAAUAAAUUUUUUCUGAACUUCCAUUACAGGUAGACUUCAACCGAGCUUCUUUGUAGUCGGAUCCCAGAUGAGCUUCUACCCUGGGAUAGGACCCGCCGGCCAGAUCGCUACUCCGAGCUCCCACGACAGUCGAUUUUAGAUUGAGUUUCUACAAUAAGCGGCCUCCUUUCGGCCUCCCACAAGAAUCGAACUCCAUCCGAGCUUCCACAGUAGAUGGAUUCCGAACGAGCUUUCGCAAC
rnacentral:lncRNA from 1 species